AGCGAACGCUGGCGGCAGGCUUAACACAUGCAAGUCGAGCGGAUGUAGCAAUACAUCAGCGGCAGACAGGUGAGUAACACGUGGGAACGUACCUUUUGGUUCGGAACAACACAGGGAAACUUGUGCUAAUACCGGAUAAGCCCUUACGGGGAAAGAUUUAUCGCCGAAAGAUCGGCCCGCGUCUGAUUAGCUAGUUGGUGAGGUAACGGCUCACCAAGGCGACGAUCAGUAGCUGGUCUGAGAGGAUGAUCAGCCACAUUGGGACUGAGACACGGCCCAAACUCCUACGGGAGGCAGCAGUGGGGAAUAUUGGACAAUGGGCGCAAGCCUGAUCCAGCCAUGCCGCGUGAGUGA
rnacentral:rRNA from 1 species